GUUUCAGGAAAGGGUGAGAUUCCCUACUGGUGGUGACGUUUGAGACAGAUAAAAGCCUGCUCGAUCAAACGAAGUCCGCGACCCGCGCAAGCGGUUGACUUGGUGAGAUUCCAAGACCAACGGUAUAGUCCGGAUGGGAGAAGC
rnacentral:ncRNA from 1 species